GUCGGAAACUCGCCGGAUCUAUCGCUAUUGCAGUCGCUGAAAGCAGAGGAAGAUUCAUUAAUUCCAAGACCGGUAAAUGUUCUUCCCAUGUAGUUAAUGUUUCCGGCGAGUUUUCAAAGGUUUGCCGGUGUUAUCGGAAAAUGAGAGGUGAAAGUCGAAACGACGGCGUUUGGUAGGUGGAGUUUGAUUUGGGCCGAGUGUGUUAAUGGGCUUUUGAGGAGAAUUUGAAGAAAGUGGAAAUAGAAGAUAUAAGAGAAAGGAGAGAAGAGAACACGUGGAUUAACGCCUAGGAGAAAGGGAUGGACACGUGGGUGACCGUACAGAAUCCAAGUAGGAACAGCACGUGCGACUUUUAAUGCGGGAGUGGAAGUGCAAAUGAUACAUUACUUAAUGGAAGAAUGCAUUCAAGACGGAAUACGUACAUUGCAAAUGAUACAUCUUAAUGAGAGAAUUACAUUCUAUAGGAUAUAGAGAUAUAUCCGAGAGAAGAACUUUGUAUUUUUUAAAUGAUAAUUUUUUUAAGAAAUUAUGAUAUCUUAAAUCGUAUAUUUAUGUAACUUUU